CUUACAAGUCAUUAUUUACAGAUACUAUUACAGUACUGGGGACCAGGAACAGCCAUCCCUGCCUUUGUCACUGCAGGCUAUUGAUACAUACUACGAAAAACUACAUAAGACAACCCAGCUGGAAAUCAGAGCUGAAGAAUAAUAAACCAGCUUGGAGUACCUGUUGCAACUGAAUCCCACGAGAUACUGCAAAUGUGAAUGUACUGUCGCAAAAGUGUACUGGUUCGUUGCUUGAACAAACCAAGACCUUCUGCUCGAGAGGAACCCUGAAUCUACCAGCCACGUGAGGGCAGCAAAGACUCAAGCUGUAAGAGGGCCGCAUGAGCCAUUGCAACAACUGAACAGCUAUGUUUUAGGAGUGCCAUGUCAGGAUGGUGGAAGUUCUGCCACUGCAGUCUUUUAGAAAUGACCAGACAAAGCAAUGACAGUACAUACUUGAUUGCACUCUCUCGCAAUGAGGAAGGUUAAUUGGCUUUCAACAGGGCAUUUUGGCCUCUGUGAGGAUCUGCUUUGAAGAAUCACGUGUGAUAUGGUUCUGGAGAGAUAAGGGGUUCCAGAGAGCUGGUUGAUUUUCCAGUAUCACCUCUUCCAAGCUCAACAGCUAUCCAUCCCAAUGAGCAGGACAUCAAGCAAGGGCAGCAGGAAGCUUUCAUGGAUCAUUAAAUACCUCCUGACUAAACUCAAAGACAAAAAGGAAUCAUGUAAGAGGUGGAAGGAAAGACUGUCACAAUGGCCAAGCACUGGAUCGUGUUUCCCAUAGAAGUUCUGUUGUAUCCAUCUUUGGAGAUAUUCAAAACCCAGCUGAAUACAGUCUUUCUUUACAUGGCCCUGCUCCAAGCAGGGAGGUUGGACUAGUUAAUUUCCAUAAGCACCUUCCAACUGUGAUUUUGUACUCAAUAGAAGUUGGUUUAUGGGUUGGGGUUUUUUGUUUUGGUUUGUUUGUUUAGUGUGUAUGUUUUUUUUUCUCUUUUUUUUUUCUUUCUUUUUUUUUUCAGUAGUUCAGAGAUACAGUUUAUCAAAUGCAAAAUCUGCUAAUAGUAAACUGGCAUUUUCUUAUAUUUAAUUCCUUAACUGUCUUUAGUAGAAACGAGAGUAUCCUAACUGCUCUUAGUGAAGUAACACAAUAAUGAAUACAGAGUUGCAAUAAUUACAAAUUCAUGGCCAGGUUCGUGUGGCAUAAAAUAACUCCCAGUACUAAUGUAUUUUCUGUAUUUUAUACAGAAAUAAGUUCAAUGAGAAUGACUUCAAGUACAAUUUUAGUGACUGUGGGAGGACAGGUUCACAGCAAGUAAUGAAAUUCCUGAAGGAUUUUUUUUUUUUUAAUUUAUCAACGGAAUAGUAAAGAUAAAGUCUGGAUAUAAGAUAAAUGUCAUUCUCCUAUGAUAUACAUGUCAUUAGAGAUCUCAUAAUUUAUACAUUAUCUUUUCUAGGUAAUAUACCAGGCUGAUUGUAAUGAAGGGAGCUAUUAAAAGAUUAAACCUCUUCUCCAAACACAAUUUCAGUAAUUUGGUCUGGAGUUCUGUGCAAACCAUGCAUUCAAAUAUUUUCAUUAGUGUUAUAUAUGCCAAGAGCAUUCAUCAUCAGCAGAGUUGUUGAGUUCUUUGACAUAACUAUUUUUGGUUGAAUAUGCAGAUUUUUAAAAAUAAAUACUUUAUUUGUUUCAAAAAACCAUUAGGGAAACAUAAACACAAUUCUCUUGAAGAGAGAAUCUUAGCAAAUCUGGGAGAAAUUUAGACUUCGAGUAUUCCUGUUUGUCCAGAAACUAAAAAGCUGGACUAAAAGUGCUAGGCUCUCUGAUGUAUAGUUCACACAGUCCAGAUUACCAGACAUAAGAAUGGCAAAAUAAAAUGCUUUGCUACACCUGUGGUUAGGUCUUCUAGACACUUGAGUCUGUAACAGAGAGUUUAGAUAUCCUGAGAAUCCUGCCUUAAGAUAGAGUUAUAACUGACUGAAUUCUUCACUUUGAAAUAAGCCAAAACUUUUUUCAUAAUGGCUUUUUUAUUAUUAUUAUGAAGCUCACUCUUAGCUGUUUUUAUCCAGCAACCCCCUAGAAAUAAAGUAAAAUUAAAUUAAAAAUUAAAAAAAAAAAAAAAAGUAAUCCCAAGGAUUUGUGGUAGACAAGAUAGUUUCCUUUCUUCAGAAAAACUGACCUAAGAGCUUUUAUCUUUUUGUUUUUUGUUUUUUGUUUUUUUUUAAUUCGUCAGAAUGGGUGUACUAUUUACUAAUUCUCAUUCCAUAAAGUCUGAACAUUUGCCAUUCUCAUUCUGAUUUCAAACAACAUUUUUCUCACAAUAUAAAAUUUGUACAGAACAUAAAUUCUGAAUUUUACCCACUGCUAAUUAGAAGCUGCUAAUGUAACCUCCAUCCUGUAGUACUUACUUAAGUGGUAAAUUACUAUAUCCAAAUGGAAAGAUGUAUCCCUACAGUGGGUUUACGUGGCAAGGUUUUGGUAGCAGGGGGCCAUAGGGGUGGUUUCUGUGAGAAGGAUCAAGAAGCUGCCCCAUGUUUGGUAAGGGCCCCACUGUUUUCCAGAGCUGAGCCA